UACGAAGGGGGCUAGUGUUGCUCGGAAUCACUGGGCGUAAAGCGCACGUAGGCGGAUUGUUAAGUCAGGGGUGAAAUCCUGGAGCUCAACUCCAGAACUGCCUUUGAUACUGGCGAUCUUCGAGUCCGGGAGAGGUGAGUGGAACUGCGAGUGUAGAGGUGAAAUUCGUAGAUAUUCGCAAGAACACCAGUGGCGAAGGCGGCUCACUGGCCCGGUACUGACGCUGAGGUGCGAAAGCGUGGGGAGCAAACAGG
rnacentral:rRNA from 1 species